GAUGAACGCUGGCGGCGUGCCUAAUACAUGCAAGUCGAGCGAACAGACGAGGAGCUUGCUCCUCUGACGUUAGCGGCGGACGGGUGAGUAACACGUGGAUAACCUACCUAUAAGACUGGGAUAACUUCGGGAAACCGGAGCUAAUACCGGAUAAUAUAUUGAACCGCAUGGUUCAAUAGUGAAAGACGGUUUUGCUGUCACUUAUAGAUGGAUCCGCGCCGCAUUAGCUAGUUGGUAAGGUAACGGCUUACCAAGGCGACGAUGCGUAGCCGACCUGAGAGGGUGCUCGGCCACACUGGAACUGAGACACGGUCCAGACUCCUACGGGAGGCAGCAGUAGGGAAUCUUCCGCAAUGGGCGAAAGCCUGACGGAGCAACGCCGCGUGAGUGAUGAAGGUCUUCGGAUCGUAAAACUCUGUUAUUAGGGAAGAACAAAUGUGUAAGUAACUAUGCACGUCUUGACUGUACCUAAUCAGAAAGCCACGGCUAACUACGUG
rnacentral:rRNA from 1 species